CCUACGGGUGGCAGCAGUGAGGAAUAUUGGUCAAUGGCCGAGAGGCUGAUCCAGCCAAGUCGCGUGAAGGAAGAAGGCCCUCCGGGUUGUAAGCCUCUUUUGUCGGGGAGCAAAGCGAACCGUGUGUGGUUCAUUGAGAGUACCCGACGCAAAAGCAUCGGCUAACCCCGUGCCAGCAGCCGCGGUAAUACGGAGGAGGCGGUCGUUAGCCGGAUUUGGUGGGUUUAAAGGGUGCGCAGGCGGAGGUGCAAGUCAGCGGUCAAAUUGCGGGGCUCAACCCCGUACUGCCGUUGAAACUGCAUCCCUUGAGUGCGCGAGAGGUAUGCGGAAUGCGUGGUGUAGCGGUGAAAUGCAUAGAUAUCACGCAGAACUCCGAUGGCGAAGGCAGCAUACCGGCGCGCAACUGACGCUCAUGCACGAAAGCGUGGGUAUCGAACAGGAUUAGAUACCCUGGUAGUC
rnacentral:rRNA from 1 species